AGGGCUGUGGCUCAGUGGUAGAGUGCUUGCCUAGCAUGCAUGAGGCACUGGAUUCAAUCCUCAGCACCA
rnacentral:tRNA from 1 species